rnacentral:rRNA from 1 species
UACAGAGGUGGCAAGCGUUGUUCGGAAUUACUGGGCGUAAAGGGCGCGUAGGCGGUCUUGUAAGUCUUGUGUGAAAUCCCUCGGCUUAACUGAGGAACUGCACGAGAUACUGCGAGACUUGAGUUCGGGAGAGGAAAGCGGAAUUCCGGGUGUAGCGGUGAAAUGCGUAGAUAUCCGGAGGAACACCGGUGGCGAAGGCGGCGACCUGGGCCAAUAUUGACGCUGAGGUGCGAAAGCGUGGGGAGCAAACAGG